ensembl:lncRNA
CUUGUUGUUAUAUUAAGUAGUGGGUAUAAGCAAUUCUGUUUGAAAAGUUUUAGAUGGUGGUCUAAACUUUGUCUUUUUUUUCUUUGCCUUUUAGGUUGCUGGUUCCAAAAUGAUCUGGAAGUGUAAGUUGUGCGCAGCUUCUUACACCUCCAGAAUACAGUUAUUUAGACACUAUAGGCUGCAGCACAGCCACUAUUCCAGAAUCAGCCCCCUUCCAUGCCUCUACACUGAUUGCAUUUGCACAUUUCAGACACUUAAUGCACUGAGUACUCAUUUGUCAAGAUAUCAUACAGCACAACCUAGCAGUUGUACAGAGCAGAGUCAGGGCCCUGUGUUAUUUAAAUGCCCUUUAUGCACAUUUCAGCAACCCUUUUCUAAUUCAGCUCUUUUCAGUCAUCUCAGAAAGCAUUUGAAAAAUCAUGAAACAGUGACGUGCCCAUAUAAGGAUUGUAGCUAUAGCACAAAUGUGUACUCCUCGUUCAAUACUCAUAAAAGUAGAGAACACCAAGCAGGUCUUGCAUCUGACUUUCAAAUUGAUAUUGUCAGUGAGGAUCCCCAUAGUCUUCAAGCCAGUAUUUCUGAGGAAACUAGUGAUUUGCAUGAAGAAUGCCCAGGCCAGAGCAGAGAAGGGGAGAAUGGUGAUCAGUGUGACACUGGCAGUCUAAGAAAUCAACUUAAAAAAAAUGUAUCUUCCUUAUUUCUAAAGAUGCAGGCUAUCCUCCAUGUCUCAAACACAGCUACUCAGGAAAUAGUAGACCACUUGAAUCAGAUCUUCUCCUUAUCUGAGCCGUUGAUCAAAGAGGCAGUUAAUGACAUACUGCAAAGAAAUGGUCAUAGUAUUGCAGAACCUACACUGAGUGAAGUUGUUGCCGCUGUCAUGGACUGCAAUGUUCUCUCUAUGUCAACCUCUAAAGGUGCCGAAUUGAGUUCAUCCAAGCGCAGAAAAACCUUUAUUGAGCGCAACUAUCCUUAUGUAAUGCCAGUGGAGUAUCAGUUGGAGCAACCUGGACAUACCAGCAUGUAUGUUCCUAUCCUUUCAAUGAUUCAAGAGUUGUUUAAAAACACAGACAUUCUUAACAAGAUUACUGAAACAAAUACGGCAUCUGGUCAAUAUGUAUCAUGCUCCAAUGGCUCUCAUUUCCUUGAAAAUGAGUUACUGUCAACAGGGGAUCUCAUCCUACCACUCCAGCUAUAUACUGAUGAUCUUGAAAUUUGCAAUCCGCUUGGCACAUCACGCAAAAUUCACAAAUUUUGCGCUGUAUAUUGGGUCCUCGCUAAUGUGCCACCAAAAUACAGAUCAGCAUUACAUGCUAUACAGCUAGCAAUACUGGUAAAAGUGACAGACCUCCGUAAGUAUGGAUAUGCAGCUGUACUUGCUCCAUUGCUGCGUGAUCUUCAUACUCUGGAAAAAGACGGUGUCUUCAUCGAAAGAGUUGGUCAGAAUGUCAGAGGCACUGUCUUUUGUGUUUCUGCUGACAAUUUGGCUGCUCAUGGAUUAGGUGGCUUUGUAGAGUCAUUUAGAGCAGGCCAUGUUUGCAGAUUCUGUAUGGGCUCAGUUGAACAGUUUCAAGUAACUGAAGUCAGAGAGAGAAAGUUUCUUCAGAGAACCAAAGCCAGCCAUGACCUACAUGUGCAAACUGUUCAAGAAAGUGACACUUUGAGCAGCCACUUUGGUGUUAAAGGUGGCUGUGUUUUGCGUGAGUCCCUGAAUUACUUCCAUACAAUCACUGGGUUUCCUCCUGAUAUACUCCAUGAUCUUCUGGAAGGUAUCGUUCCCAUGGAGCUUUCUCUUUGUGUCAAAGAGAUGAUCCGGCUAAAGUACUUCACCUUGGAGUAUUUGAACAACAAGAUUACAUCUUUCCCAUAUCAACACACUGAUAAAGUGGAUAGACCCCAGCCACUUCCCAAAACGUUUCUUUCUCGAGGAACGAUUGGAGGUAAUGGACAUGAAAAUGCCACUCUGCUCCGACUUCUUCCAUUGCUUGUUGGCAGUGUAAUACCAGAGGGUGAUGAGUCAUGGGCAGUUUUGAUGGAGUUGAAAGAGGUGGUAGAGUUAGCAUUGUGCCCGUCAUUUACUGAUGAAACCUUAGACUAUUUUGUGUGCAAAAUCAGUGAUCAUAGACAGGCAUUGCUAGAGGUUUUCCCUGAGGUUAGGCUCCGUCCUAAACAUCAUUAUGUGGAGCAUUAUCCUGCUCUAAUCAAGUGCUUUGGGCCCCUGCUGCACGUUUGGACCAUGCGGUUUGAGGCCAAGCACCGCUUUUUCAAAAGAGUGGUGCAUGACGCUCAAAACUUCAAAAAUAUUUUGAAGACAAUGGCAAUCAGACACCAACACAUGAUGGCAUAUCAUCUUGCUGCACCAUCAUUUUUCAAGCCAAAAACUCAGGCAUCCAGGGUUGACUCUGUUCUGGUUUCAGCUCUACCAGAGGUUGCUCAAGUACACAUUAGAGAACAAACAACUAGUGACACAAUCUACAAGACAACAAAUGUGACCAUUGAUGGCACAGACUAUGUCUGUGGAAUGUUUCUGUCUGUAGGAGUCAGUGGUGGACUGUCGAAAUUUGGCAAAAUAGAAGAGAUCUUUCUUGUGAAUCACAACGUAUCUUUUCUGUGUUGUGAUUAUGACUCCUGGUAUGUAGAACAUCUACGGUCCUAUGAGCUGUCAACUGCAGACAUAAGCCUGUCGAUCCACCUGCAGUCUGGUCUGAAUGAUACAGUCCCUCUCUCUGCAUACAAGAUAGACGGCUCGCUGCUGCUGACCCCCAAGCGGUUCAUUCAAGUGAGACAGAACUGAGUUCAGCACAAUGGCAGCUGCAUCCCCACAACCAAUGAUUCUUCGUGUUGUUGAGCCAGACCAGGCUAGAAAAUUAAAACUCAGCUCACGACCAGCCUCUGUUGAUGCACUGAUCAACAUUAUAAAAGAACAGCUGGAAAUCAACCUUGACUUCGAUUUGCUUUACGAAGAUCCAGACUUUGAAGGGAAACUUACUUCCCUUACAGACAUUGAGGAAUUGCCACAAAAAGCUGUUGUGCACAUCUCACUUUCACAAGACUCCAGCUCUAUUGCAUCUACUGUUCUACUUUCAGAUGUGUCAUCUCCAGAGCGUCUCAGCAGGUGGCCUCCAGGUCCUUUCCCUGUUCCCACAUUUGCAUUUAAUGUUGAACUAAAACUUAGAGAUGGAAAUGCGGAAUAUAAGAAGAACAACACACACCUUCAGUUGACAAGAGACCUAAAGCACGACAUUUUAGAAAAGCUUGCAUCUACUAUAUAUGGUUUUAAGGCUUACCCAAGUGAUAAAGAGAUUGCAAAGGCUGCUGAGGCUCUUGUAGCCAAACAUCCCUGCUUGAAGGAAGCAGGAUCUGAGACUGGCUGGAAUGGAUGGAAAAACUCCAUCAAGUUUAAGAUGGGC